rnacentral:lncRNA from 1 species
UUCUGGUAGAAAGUAAUAAUGAAAAUAAUUGAAGUAAAAACCAAAUUAUCAUUAACUAUUAUCAUUUUCCUAUUAAUUUUAGUACACAAUGAAUAUAAAACACAUAGGAGUUUUGUGUAAUAUGUGUUAUAAUGAUGCUAUCGGAAUAAAUUCACUUGCACACAAAUCUCAAUUUAAUUUUUCUGCUGACUAUAUAUGUUACUGGAGCAAGAAAUUCUCUGUUUAAAUAAGCAACUUGUCAAUAGAGGUUUGAACUUUUUUUUUACAACAAAUGCAGCAAAGACUAGCACUUUUGAAUUUCAGUCACUUGAAAAAUUAGAACAGGACUUCUGCCUAUAUAAACAUUUGAUGUGAUAGCACUGCAGAAAAUCAAGAUUACAAGUUCUUUGAAAAAAGUAAAAUCUUUUAAAGUAUAAUUAUUUAUAUUUUAUUUUAUUCUUUUCAUGAGUGACAGAAGUUUGUCAGUAACUGCUCAAUUCCGUUCAAAACUUUCUUCAAAGUUUUUUUGGCUUCUAUGAAAGGGAAUGUUUUGAUAUUUGGUCUGAUAAUAUUAAUGUUGAGUGGUAGAGAGUAAGACAAUUUUUCACAUCUGCUGUGUAGCCCUCUUCCUUGGAGCCGAUUGUUAAAAAUUUGAUACAACACUCAAUGUUCAAAGGAAAUUUUGGACUGAGUUUUGUUGGCUUCUAUGAAAGUUAAUGAUUUAAAUAUUUGGUCUUGAAAUACUCAUUUAUGCUCUGAUGUACAAGUCAUCUCGAUAAAUUACAUGCAGCCAUUUAGGUCCCAGGUAUUAUAAUUUUAUGUCUAGCUGGCAUAAUUUUGUUUGAGAAGCUGCAGUAUUUUUGCGCCUCUCCAAGUCAGGAGCCUCUGGCCUUUGUAAGUCUUGUAGGAUUUUUUAUUUCAGUUCAUUUAUAUGUUUUGGAGUUGAGUAUGGCCUUCACUAUCACUGAACUAGUACACAUUUUUCUUAAGGGGCCAGCUGAAGCAUGCCUUAGGGUUAGGGAUUUUCUCACUGUGUUAAAGAGGUAUUGGUGGAUUGUGGAUGUUUCUUACUCUUAUGUCAGGUUGUUGUAUCUUUGACAUAAUCCUCAUUUCUUUCUCAAUUUUAUAGCAUUCCUAUAUUUUUCUCGUUGUCAGCGUCAUCAAAAUCUGUGAUUGAAGAUAUUAAUUACAUUGUCAAGCCUUACUAGCAGUUUUUCAAACUUGAGAAGUUUUUAUAGGAUCAAAAGAUAAUGUCCAAAGUAUAUUUUGAAAUAUUUUUGAUAUCCUAAAUGUGCAUAUAUUAUAUUUGUAGCUGGAUGAUAAAGCAGCAAUCAGUCAAUCAACCAGUUUUUAUCUCAGGGUUACUUGUAUCAUUUGUAAUCUGUUAGGAAAUCAUACAGUGCCAAUUGUCACAUUUCAUAUAUAUUUGCCAGAAUUUACGUAAUACUUUGGAAUUUAUUUCAAAGUUUUAGACAACAUUUUUUUUGUUACAUUAAUUUUGAUUUUUAGUUUUUGUGUGGAAAGUCAUAACUGAGAGCUUAAGUUUUGUUGUUGUGUGAAAACAAUUAUUUUGUAGAAAUGUAUAUGAUUAUUUAGUUUUAUCGUCUUUUGUUUUUGGUUUGUUAAGAAUCCUUCAGGAGAAAGGAUCUUUGUAUUUCUUGAAUGAAUGUUUAAAAAAAACCUUUCCCAAAACUCAAAUACAGAAUCAUGAGUUUUAUUAUGACUUGUUAUCUACAGCCCAGAAAAACUAUAGAAAGUGAACAGAAAAAUGUAUUGCAAUUCUAUAGUUUACAAACAUUUUCUAAAUAUAUGUAUUGUUAUACAUCAAAGGAUUAACACACAUCUUUAAUAGUUUGUUUUUUGAAUAAACAAAAGGGUUAAUUUAACACAUUAUAGACAGACAGACAUAUGCAGAUUCAGGGGGAGGGUGGGGGGAGCUCUUUUGUGGAAAAAAAUUGGUUGAUUAUAUAGGGAAUUGCUGAAGCUGGCUCCCUCUUAGGUCAGUCAGUGCCCUCUCCCCCUCCCCUUUCUGAAAAUUUCUGGAUCUGCCAGUGAAGUGGCAUGUAAUGAUUUAGUCUUAGAAUUUUGACAUAAAAAUGUGUAUGAACUCUUUAUUUAAUUGAAUAAGUAGAAGACUCCCUAAGUAAAAUAUUGCCUAUUACUAGAAGAAAAUAAAACAACAAUGUCAAAUGAUCAUCCUUCAAAUUUUAUUACAGAAUUAGGAUUUAGGAUUCUGGAAAAAAAGGUUUUGGGAAAAGGAAUAUGCUAUUGGUUUUCAACUGCACAACUUUUAAUAUAAUAUGUUAGCAUCUUCCGGUGACUUCUGAAAUAAUUAAAAGUUUAAUUUAUAUCAUAUUCUCACUAAGAAUAUUUAAUAUAUCAAGAAGAAUGGGACGUAUUUAAUUUUAUUCCUUUUUGUUUUAUAAGCUCUCAGUCUGAUUCUUUUAAUAAGUUUUGUAUUUUCAAUAUUUUUGGCUCGACCAUCAUCGAAGAGACAUCUAUUGUCAAAAUGAGCAUCUGGUGCUGAAAAAUUGGUAAUGUUAAAUUUUAUUUAAAUCUUAGAUGGUGUGAGUCAGAGUGAUGUAAAAAAGAAGCUUCUAUUUUAAUGUGUUCAUUAUUCAUUUCCAACUAUUUUAUGAAUAAAAUAAAAAUAAAG